rnacentral:lncRNA from 1 species
AACCAUCACUCACUCUUUUUCCCCCUUUCUUUGUUGCAGUAUAUAUUCAGAAUUUUUCAUGCAUCAUAUAUAAUAUAUCUUUCUUCAAUUGCACCUGGCUUAUUAAAGCAGAAGCUCCUGAAGAUAUUCAGAUAUUUUUUUCAUACAGGUAAUGGUCUUGUGCAAAAUAACUAUGAAGCUAUGCUUUUGUACCUAAGUCCUUGAUUUACAAGACUCAUAUUUCCUUCUCACAGACACGUAGGAAAAGAUUUUGAAUGCCAGCAAUAUAUAAAAAAUGCAAGGAAGAAAAAUAUUGGAUGCCAUAUGAAAGAAAUAUAUUUCCAACCAUCAAGAAAAAUCAAUUUAAACAUAACCAUAAGACAUCUGAGACAUAAUUCAGGAGGCCUGUCUUAUUACAAAGCUUUUACACCUCAGACAAUAGAGAAACUGAACCCGCCUAUCAACGUCUCUGUUUCCCUUGAAAACGGAAGUAUUAAAAUUCACUGGAAACCCCCGCCUACUAUUGGUUCUGCAAGUAGCAAGUGCUUUUUGUAUCAAGUGAAAAUAACAGAUCGUAAGAUUGUAGAUGUCACUGCAGAGAAAUACGAGUCUCCAUUUCAUAAACCAGCAAAAAAAUGUGCAGUACAAGUGAGGGUAAAGAAAGAGGUAUGCAUAAGAAACAAGAUUUGGAGUGAAUGGAGUGAACCAGUGUUUAUUCACAAUGGUAAGUUAUCACGUAUUUACUAUUCAUAACCGUUAUCAUAUGUUAUUACCAUUCAAUGUAUUUACUUCAUUAUUGUGCCUGUUUU